CCGAGUUUACAACUCCCAAACCCCUGUGAACAUACCCAUACGUUGCCUCGGCGGAUCAGCCCGCGCCCCGUAAAACGGGACGGCCCGCCCGAGGACCCCUAAACUCUGUUUUUAGUGGAACUUCUGAGUAAAACAAACAAAUAAAUCA
rnacentral:misc_RNA from 1 species